rnacentral:rRNA from 1 species
UACAGAGGGGGCAAGCGUUGUUCGGAAUUACUGGGCGUAAAGCGCACGUAGGCGGGUCGUUAAGUCAGGGGUGAAAUCCCGGAGCUCAACUCCGGAACUGCCUUUGAUACUGGCGAUCUUGAGAUCGGAAGAGGUGAGUGGAAUUCCCAGUGUAGAGGUGAAAUUCGUAGAUAUUGGGAAGAACACCAGUGGCGAAGGCGGCUCACUGGUCCGAUACUGACGCUGAGGUGCGAAAGCGUGGGGAGCAAACAGG